rnacentral:misc_RNA from 1 species
UCCCCGUUACCGGGGCAGUCUGAUUAGAAAAAUUCAACUAACCAUAAGGGUUGCGCUCGUUGAAGGACUUAACCUAACAUCUCACGACACGAGCUGACGACGGCCAUGCAACACCUGUCUUUGGGUUCCCGAAGGCACUCACGUCUUUCGACAUAAUUCCCAAGAUGUCAAGACCUGGUAAGGUUCUUCGCUUACCAUCGAAUUAAACAACACGCUCCACUGCUUGUGCGGCUCCCCGUCAAUUCCUUUGAGUUUUAGUCUUGCGACCGUACUCCCCAGGCGGGAUACUUAACGCGUUAGCUUCGCUACAUACCGGGUCGAUACGGCAUACAGCUAGUAUCCAUAGUUUACGGCGUGGACUAC